rnacentral:rRNA from 1 species
AUUGAACGCUGGCGGCAGGCCUAACACAUGCAAGUCGAGCGAGCGGCGGACGGGUGAGUAAUGUCUGGGAAACUGCCUGAUGGAGGGGGAUUACUACUGGAAACGGUAGCUAAUACCGCAUCCCAUCAGAUGUGGCCCGAUGGGAGUAGCUAGUAGGUGGGGUAACGGCUCACCUAGGCGACGGUCCCUAGCUGGUCUGAGAGGAUGACCAGGCACACUGGAACUGAGACACGGUCCAGACUCCUACGGGAGGCAGCAGUGGGGAAUAUUGCACAAUGGGCGCAAGCCUGAUGCAGCCAUGCCGCGUGUGUGAAGAAGGCCUUCGGGUUGUAAAGCACUUUCAGCUGGGAGGCGUUACCCGCAGAAGAAGCACCGGCUAACUCCGUGCCAGCCGCCGCGGUAAUUC